rnacentral:rRNA from 1 species
AUGAUUGACUGCCCGCGGCUGCUUCUUGCUGCCGCGAGCUCCGCCCCCGGCCCCUCGUCCGCCGCUUGCCGGAGGUUCACCACCGGGUGCCCUCCCUUCUCCCUUUCAUGCCGCAGCCGCCUUUCGUCUUUCCCUGUGCAAUCUGCAUCCUCUGGGGCGGGGAGCCAGUCGAGCGUCGUGGAUGAGCCGGAGUCCGUCGAAUGGGCCAUGCAGGACUUCUACGCUUUGCGCAAGGAUGUUGAGUUGGCCGUAGAGCGUGUCAAUGAAGUCAGGCAGGAUGCUGGACUGGAACAGCUUCUGGAGGAAAUCGCUUUGCUGGAGAACAAGUCUGGGGAUAGCACCUUGUGGGAUGAUCCUUCCAAGGCACAGGAGUUGCUUGUUGCUCUCACAGAGCUCAAAGAGAAAGUCAAGCUUCUCAACGAUUUCAAGUCGCAGGUUGAAGAAGCAGAUACCAUUGUGCAGCUUACAGAGGAGUUGGACUCCAUAGACACAGGCCUUCUUGAGGAGGCCUCAAAGAUUAUAAAGGCAUUGAAUAAAGCACUAGAUAAUUUUGAGAUGACACGGCUUCUUUCUGGACCUUAUGACAAGGAAGGUGCUGUGAUUACUAUCUCUGCAGGCGCUGGUGGAACCGAUGCCCAGGAUUGGGCUGACAUGUUACUCAGGAUGUAUGUUAGGUGGGGAGAGAAGCAGCGCUACAAGUCAAGAGUGGUAGAGAAGUCCCCUGGUGAGGAGGCUGGAAUAAAAUCAGCAACAGUUGAAUUAGAGGGAAGAUAUGCCUAUGGGUAUCUCUCAGGAGAGAAAGGGACACACAGGAUCGUCCGCCAGUCUCCAUUCAACGCUAAAGGCCUUCGACAGACCAGCUUUGCUGGUGUUGAGGUCAUGCCUCUUUUACCAGAGGAAUCCUUGGAUGUAGAAAUUCCUGAAGAGGAUCUGGACAUAAGUUUUACGAGAGCUGGAGGUAAAGGAGGCCAGAACGUGAACAAAGUGGAGACGGCUGUUCGCAUGGUCCAUAUCCCCACUGGCAUUGCCGUUCGUUGCGCAGAGGAGAGAAGUCAGCUGGCUAACAAGAUAAAGGCCCUAAGGCGGCUGAAGGCAAAGCUUCUGGUGAUCGCCGAGGAGCAGCGUGCGUCAGAGAUCAAGCAGAUCCGCGGUGACGCGGUGAAGGCGGAGUGGGGGCAACAGAUACGCAACUAUGUCUUCCACCCCUACAAGCUCGUCAAGGACGUCCGUACGGCGUGCGAGACAUCAGACAUCAGCGGUGUGAUGGAUGGCGAGCUGGAUCCCUUCAUCAAGGCCUACCUCCAGUACAAGCUCUCUGCUGCUGCCGAGGAGCAAAGCGUCAAGUGA